UGUUGUCUCACUUAGCCUGGCUGAUGUUCCUACACGAUUGAGGUGAUGUCGCUUCGUUUCUGGGAGGCUAGGAAUGUCAGGCAGGGUGAUGAACUCAAAAUGAUGAAGAUCAAGGCUUAAAAUUAGGUGUAAUCAGAAUUUAGACUUUUAGACUCUCCUCUGUUGAUACGGUUCAGUGAUUCGAUCCGUUUUUAUGAGAAAUACAGUAAUGUUCUAUGAGUGAAAUCAAUUACAACUGUUCGUUGAGAGACAAUAAUUUAAAAGUUUUACAAGGCUAUGGCUUGACUGAGACGACGGCUAUCGUUGCUUCUAUGUUUACUGAAGAGGAGACUGAGAGGUACAGAUCAUCUGGUUUGCUUUCUCCAAAUGUGGAGGCUAAGAUUGUGGAUCAGGAACGGGUCGUGUCUUGGGGUUUGAUCAAACUGGCGAACUCAGGUUCCGGAGUCCUACUGUGAUGAAAGGUUAUUUCAAAAACGAAGAAAGCUACUGCUUCUACUAUUGAUUCAGAAGGAUGGUUGAAGACCGGAGAUGUGUGUUACAUUAACAGUGAAGGUUUUGUCUUUGCUGUUGAUAGAUUAUAGGAGCUAUCAGAUGCAACGGUUAUCAGUGUUGCUAGCUCAUCCAGAGAUUGCUGAUGCAGCAGUAAUACCUAUCCUGACACGAAAGCUUGGCAAUAUCCAAUGGCAUAUAUCAUCAGAACAGCUGGAAUCAACUUAUCCGAAAGUGAAAUCAUUAUCUUAGUCGCAAAGCAGGUGUUUUCAACCAUGCAGACCAUGUUUUGUAACUAAUCCAGCCGUGGUUCCUUAUAUUUAUUCUGAGUUUUGUUUGGAUUACGUAGGUAUCUCCAUACAAGAGGAUAUGUAAGGUCAGUCACGGUUUUGUCUUCGAUCCCCGAGAAUCCCACUGGCAAGAUUUUAAGAAGAGAACUUAUAAAGCUCACAACCACAAAGCUCUAGCAGGGAGCUGUGUCCACCAGCCUUAUCUCAGACUUCACCAUUAGUUAACUCAUUUAUUUGGUUAAUUCCUCUAUAGAAAUCUCAGUCAAAACUGAAAUAUUGAUAUACAAACUUAUCAAUUCUCAUACAGAAUCUCUGUUUCUCUGUAUAUACAAACAGAAUAUAUUACAUAAAUAAAUAAAACCAAACGUUAUAAUAAUUAAAUAAAUAUAAUAUAACAAGACAUUAUGGACCAAUAUUUAGCCAAUAUAGCUAGCAACCCCCGUACCAGUUGGCUAGGGAGAAUCUAUGAAUUAUCAAAACAACAUAAAUUAGCGGAAGUCUUAUAAAAUAUGGGCAAACACUUGGCGAUAUUAAUCGAAUAUAACUUGUGACGCAACCACGAAAAUGAAACAAUACGAUAGUGUGUACAAUAAAUUAUUGACACAUACACAAAAUAUAUAUAAAUCAUGCGCAUCCGCGGUGCUCAAAUUAUUGUAGCACAAUAUAAACCAAUAUCCUACGCCUGAUGUAGCAUCCCUCUUAAAUCAAUACUACAUGAAACAUCAAACAAACUCAUCUCCAAACUGACUCAUAUUUAUAUUGGGUUGUUUUUAUCAAGAUAACCAUUAAAGUUAUAUAACAAGAUUUAUUUUAAAAACAUACAAACUAUCGUUACCAUCCCAAAACAGAAAAACUACAAUUAAUCUCACAAAAUAUGAGGGUAACUAUUUUAUAGGAUAAUACAUAUUAGCAGAUUUAUGUUCAUCGCAUAA